rnacentral:tRNA from 1 species
UCCCGUCUGGCUCAGUUGGUAGAGUAUGGUGUUUGCAACGCAAGGGUUGUGGGUUCGAUUCCCACGGGGGAC